AGCUAUAGAAGAGGAACCGGAUGCUACUGUAGCAGACAGCCUGCGGGUAGACGAGCCUGAACGACUGGUACUGCCAUCUCCCGGUGUCCGACGGAGACAGGUCGACAAGAAAACAGUGGAUAAACUUCAGGAAAUCAGCACUGAUCUUUUGUCACAGGCGAAACGCUUGGAGAAGGUGCUCGGUCCCCGGCAAGGAAAGCGGCCUACCAGAUCG